UUUUAAGAUCGGUUAUUCUAUAACCGAUUUUAAAAGUGCUACUUUUAAAAUCGGUUAUUUAAGAACCGAUUUUAAAA
rnacentral:miRNA from 1 species